rnacentral:rRNA from 1 species
GACGAACGCUGGCGGCGUGCUUAACACAUGCAAGUCGAACGGAAAGGCCCUGCUUGCAGGGUCCUCGAGUGGCGAACGGGUGAGUAACACGUGGGUGAUCUGCCCUGUACUUUGGGAUAAGCCUGGGAAGCUGGGUCUAAUACCGGAUAGGAGCCAUUUUUAGUGUGAUGGUUGGAAAGUUUUUUCGGUGUAGGAUGAGCUCGCGGCCUAUCAGCUUGUUGGUGGGGUAAUGGCCUACCAAGGCGGCGACGGGUAGCCGGCCUGAGAGGGUGGACGGGCACCUUGGGACUGGGACACGGCCCAGACUCCUACGGGAGGGAGAAGUGGGGAAGAUUGAACAAUGAGCGCAAGCCUGAUGCAGCGGCGCCGCGGGGGGGAUGACGGCCUUCGGGUUGGAAACGCCUUUCGCUAGGGACGAAGCAUUUUGUGACGGUACCUAGAUAAGAAGCACCGGCUAACUACGUG